CGCGUACGGGGGCCAGGGCAUCGGCUCGACGCUGGUCGCGGCGGCGCUGGACGCCGUCCGGGCGGCGGGCGAGCGGAUCGUCCCGCUGUGCCCGU
rnacentral:tRNA from 1 species